UGAUUAUUUUUAGGCCUAGUGGUAGAGCGUCUGCCCCGGAUGCGGAAGGUCGCGGGUUCCAAUCCCGUAGAGUCAU